rfam:Schistocephalus solidus strain NST_G2 genome assembly, scaffold: SSLN_scaffold0006608
GGCCUCGUAGCUCAGUUGGAUAGAGCGUUUGCUGUACUAGAACCUUCCCCAUGCUGCCGUGGGUUUGAAUCCCACCGAGACCA